rnacentral:rRNA from 1 species
AAUAAACGCUGGCGGCGUGCCUAACACAUGCAAGUCGAGCGAGAAAGCUCCUUCGGGAGUAAGUAAAGCGGCGAACGGGUGAGCAAUACGUGAGAAUCUACCCUUUAGUGAAGAAUACCUUCAAGAAAUUGAAGUUAAUACUGCAUAAGUCCCUUCGGGGAGAAAGAUGGCCUCUUUGCUAUCGCUAAAGGAUGAGCUUGCGCACUAUUAGCUAGUUGGUGAGGUAAUGGCUCACCAAGGCGAUGAUGGUUAACCGGCCUGAGAGGGUGUACGGUCACACUGGAACUUAGACACGGUCCAGACUCCUACGGGAGGCAGCAGUGAGGAAUCUUGCGCAAUGGGCGAAAGCCUGACGCAGCGACGCCGCGUGGAGGAUGAAGGUCUUCGGAUUGUAAACUCCUGUUAAGCGGGAAGAAAAGCCUGUUUCUAAUACAAGCAGGAUAUGACGGUACCGCUAGAGAAAGCACCGGCUAACUUCGUGCCAGCAGCCGCCGCAGUAAGA